GACGAACGCUGGCGGCGUGCUUAACACAUGCAAGUCGAACGGAAAGGCCCUGCCUUUGUGGGGUGCUCGAGUGGCGAACGGGUGAGUAACACGUGAGUAACCUGCCCUUGACUUUGGGAUAACUUCAGGAAACUGGGGCUAAUACCGGAUAGGAGCUCCUGCCGCAUGGUGGGGGUUGGAAAGUUUCGGCGGUUGGGGAUGGACUCGCGGCUUAUCAGCUUGUUGGUGGGGUAGUGGCUUACCAAGGCUUUGACGGGUAGCCGGCCUGCGAGGGUGACCGGCCACAUUGGGACUGAGAUACGGCCCAGACUCCUACGGGAGGCAGCGGUGGGGAAUAUUGCACAAUGGGCGGAAGCCUGAUCCAGCAACGCCGCGUGCGGGAUGACGGCCUUCGGGUUGUAAACCGCUUUCGCCUGUGACGAAGCGUGAGUGACGGUAAUGGGUAAAGAAGCACCGGCUAACUACGUG
rnacentral:rRNA from 1 species